CCGCUCCCCGCACUCCCUUCACGAUAUUACACCGUCAUGCUUGUAAAAAAAUCACUCUAGAAAGUCUAGAGUAGUUCUUUUUCUUGUAAAAAUGAACAUUUCAAUCACAUCUUGAUGAUAUGACGUGACCAUUUGUAUGAUUAAUCGUUUUUGAAAAGCACUUCAAACCGUACCGGCGCCAUUUUCUCGCGGCGUAACGUACAUAUGCAGAUAUGUUGUCGCCUAUACUGUAGCCUUCUAAAUAUGGCUGCUCCUCUUCGCCAAGCCUUCCAGACAGGAAAGCUGUUCUUUAUUUGCUGCGCCCGCAGACAAGACGACUUAGCUGCAAAACGGGAGCAGAUGAUCAACUCGCUCACACUGUUUUAUUCAUCGACAUUGGUAGAGGGGGCAGCGGGGUGCUGGUGAGGUGGGGGGUAGGGGGGGGCAGCAGCUCGGUAGCGGGCCAGGGAAACGAGGACGUGUCGGAAAGGUGUGCAACAACAACCUCGAAUCAUCAACAUAUCCUUCAGUAUGGAAGGUGGCGGCGACGUUACGCAACCGCCUCUCAUGUGUGGAAAGACAACUUUUCCAAGUGUUUCCUGUCGUCCACGACGACGACGACUACUGAGAGCCAGGCUACGGAUAUCAACCUUAUUCUCAUGACAUUCUGACUUCUCAUGAUAU